GCAUUUGCUCCAGCUGUGUUUCCACCAACAACCUCAGUGCUGGUUCCUCCUUGCUGAGUCAUUUAGGCUGACUCAUCUUCUGGACUCCAGAGAUUCCCUAACUGCAUGCUUCAGUUAGGGAAAGCUUAUAAAGUUGAUUCACUGACUGCUGGUUUGAAAUGGUGUCUGCUAACAAACAGUUGCUGGUACAGCUUCUCUGUAAUGUGAGGUAAAAUACCUAUAAAAGCUUAGAAGAAGAUGUAAACUCAGAACACAGCCAUAAACUUGGACUGACAAUCCCCUGAAGACUGGAUCUGGGAGGACUUUUUGCCAAUAGUACUGCCAAUGAAACUGAAAAGAAAAGAACAUUCUAUGGGUGUGGGUGUGUUACUGAGGAAAUGCUCUGUAGGCAAGAGGUAAGAAGGACUAUUAUUUUCAUUGUGCAUCUCCUGGAUGGGGAUCCCCUGGAUGAUGGGUCCCCUCAAUUGUGUAUACUUGAAUGGAUUCUCUGGUGAAAAUUGAUGACCACCCAGAACUUUAGUAUGUGCCUUUUUUUUUUUUUUUUUUUUUUGUAAAUACCUUAUCUGCAGAUACAAUGGAUUAAGAUUUAAAAUGAGACCAUACUGGGUAGGCUGGAUCCUGAAUCUAAUGAAAGCAUCUUUAUAAGGGACGGAAAGACACAUACAGUGACUCACAGACAGAAUAUGUUUCAGGCCACAUGAAGACAGACACAGAAACUGGAAUGGUGGGGUCACAAGCCAAAGAAUGCCAGGAGCCAACAAAAGCUCAAAGAGGCAAGGAAGGACUCUGUCGUAGAGACUUCAGAGAGAGCAUGCCCCUGCUGGCACUUUAUUUUGGACUGACCUCCAGAAUCGUGAGAGGAUAUAUUUUUGUUGUAUUAUGGGCAACCCUAGGAAACUAAUACAAUGGAAAACUCAAGUUUAUGCCAAGUGUUGAAAAUGGAAAUGCCUAAGAUAAUGAAAAUGAGUGGGUUGACCAGGGAGGCACAGAGGUGAAGUUGAGAGGCCACAUGGUCUAUGAAGACACAUCCAAUUGUUGUCUUCUAAGAAUGCAGACAUGGACUUGCCAAAUAUUUUUACAGUUCAGAAGAAGCUAGAAAUUUGGAUUUCAUUUGUGUGCUCUUUUUUUUUUUUUUAACAUUGCCCUAAUUUUAUUUCAAAUGUGGUACUAACCGUGUCAAACAUGUUUGAGAAAGUCAUGGGUAGCCAGUAUGGUGCCUCCUGUCUGGGUCUGUAUUAGUUUGUUCUCAUGCUGUUGAUAAUGACAUACCCGCAGCUGGGUAAUUUAUAAAGGAAAAGGGGUUUAAUGGACUCACAGUUUCACAUGGCUGGGGAAGCCUCACAAUCAUGGUGGAAGAUGAAGGAAGAGCAAAGGGACAUCUUACAUGGCACCAGGCAAAAGCGUGUGUACAGGGGAACUCCCUUUAUAAAACCAUCAGAUCUCGUGACACUUAUUCACUGUCACAUGAACAGCAUAGGAAAAACCUGAUCCCAUGAUUCAAUUACCUCCCACCGGGUCCCUCCCAUGACAUGUGGAACUAUGGAGCUACAAUUCAAGAUGAGAUUUGGGUGGGGACACAAUCAAACCAUAUCAGGGUCCCUUUUAGCCAUCCUUGUCCUGUGCAUUUUCCCCAUUUUAUAAGAGGGAGAAUUGUGUUCCUCUCCUCUUCCAUUAUUUAUUUUCCAGCCUCAGAGAAGAUCCUGCUCCAAAGACCACAGGGCAGGGGUUGGAAGGCAGAAGCAGGAGGGUUUUUGUGGCAGUGAUGCAUAGCAUAAUUGCCUGAUGGUUAUUUCCACUCAUUAACUGUCUGUCUUAUCAGAAGUCCAGGAAGAAGUUGCACAGAAUACUAUUUUAGUCUACCAGAACCACGGUUAGUAAAGCCUGCUGGAAUGUGGAGCUGAUCUAGGAGCUGUGGGCAUUCAGCUGUGGUUCUUUCAACUGCUCCUUAUGUGAAGAAUUUCUCCAGGAUUCAUCAUUCCAUCUGGAUCUGUAUAAAUAAAGCUGAAGUUCUGGUCAUGACCACUCCCUGGAUCACUCCUGCCCCUGUGUUCCUGGAGCCUCAGAGUUUUGCGUCACAUGAGCUCCCAAGCUCUUCCUUUCUCAUUCAUCUGCUUUGGUUCAUUCUUGUUGAGACUCACUAUAAGGAAAGCACCUCAUCCUGCUACAGCUGGGUACAGAACUCUGAUGUCUUCAUAAAAGUUGCUGCCUCUUGGGAGCUGUGAGCAUUGGGAUCAGCCAGUAUGGCACAUUUGCUGCUACCUCAGGGCGUGAGAGCAUGCUAAGCUCCACAUGAAGGCCUCACUUUCCCACACUAUCUCCACUGAGCACUGAAGUGAUGAUGUUGUGUCCCUGUGUCUCAGGGGUAAAUGGAGGCAGCCUUUUUCUUUUCAGGGCUGACACAAAAAGUCAAUGGGGCUUGGGGAUGAAUAACAACAAAGGACAGGCCCUCUUGCAUGAGGUCAGUCCCUCCUGCUCCUGCCCUCAAAUGUAUAUGCAAAACUAUUUUCCUUGUUCUGUGCAUGAGGUCACUGUCUAUGGUCCCAUUGAUAUGGUUUGGCUAUGGACUGACCUAAAUCUCAUCUUGAAUUGUAAUAAUCCCCAUAUGUCAAGGGUGGGGUCAGGUGGAGGUAAUGGAAUCACAGGGGGUGGCUUCCCCCAUACUAUUCUCAUGAUAGUGAAAAAGUCUCACGAAAUCUGAUAGUUUUAUAAAUGGGAGUUUCCCUGCACAAGCUCUCUUGCCUGCUGCCAUGUAAGACAUGAUUUUGCUCCUCAUUUGCCUUCCAUAAUGAUUGUGAGACCUCCCCAGCCAUGUGGAACUGUGAGUCAAUUAAACCUCUUUCCUUUAUAAAUUACCCAGUGUUGGGUAUAUCUUUAUUAGCAGUGUGGGAACAGGCUAAUACAGUAAUUGGUACCAGUAGAGUGGGAUUCUGCUGUAAAGAUACCCCAAAAAUGUGGAGGUGACUAUGGAACUGGGUAACAGGCAGAAGUUGGAACAGUUUGGAGGACUCAGAAGACAGGAAAAUGUGGAAAAGUUUGGAGCUUUAUAGAGACUCGGAGGGCUCAUAAGCCAGGAAAAUACGGGAAAGUUUGGAAUUUCCUAGAGACUUGUUGAAUGGUUUUGACCAAAAUGCUGAUAGUGAUAUGGAAAAUAAAGUCCAGGUUGAGGAGGUCUCAGAUGGAGAUGAAGAGCAAAGGUAACUCUUGUCAUGCUUUAGCAAAAAGACUGGCAGCAUUUUGCUUCUGCCAUAGAGAUCUGUGGAACUUGGAACUUGAGAAAGAUGAUUUAGGCAUCCGGUGGAAGAAAUUUUUAAAUAGCAAGGCAUUCAAGAUGUGACUUGGGUGCUGUUAAAAGCAUUCAGUUUUCUGUAUUCACAAAGAUAUGGUUUGGAAUCAGAACUUAUGCUUAAAAGGGAAGCAGAGCAUAAAAAUUUAGAAAAUUUGCAGGCUGAUGAUGCAAUAGAAAAGAAAAACCCAUUUUCUGAGGAGAAAUUCAAGCCUGCUGCAGAAAUUUGCGUAAAUAAUGAGGAGAAAAAUGUUAAUCACCAAGAAAAUGCAGAAAAUGUCUCCAGGGUAUCACAGAGAGAUUUGCAGCAGCCCCUCCCAUCACAGGCCUAGAGGCCUAGGAGGAAAAAAUGGUUUCGUGGGCUGGGCCCAUGGCCUCGCUGCUCUGUGCAGCCUAGGGACUUGGUGCUCUGUGUCCCAGCCACUCUAGCUGUGGCUAAAAGAGGACAAGGUACAGCUCAGGCUGUGGCUUCAGAGGGUGGAAGCCCCAAGCCUUGGCAGCUUCCAUGUGGUGUUGAGCUUGUGGGUGCACAGAAGUUAGGAAUUGAGGUUUGGAAACCUCUGCCUAGUUUCAGAAGAAGUAUGGAAGCACCUGGAUGUCCAGGCAGAAGUUUGCCGUAGGGGUAGGGUCCUCAUGGAGAACCUCUGCUAGGGCUGUGUGAAAGAGCAAUGUGGGGUGGGGUCCCCCAGACAGAGUCCCUACUUGGGCACUGCCUAGUGGAGCUGUGAGAAGAAGCCCACCAUCCCGCAGACUCCAGAGUGGUAGGUCCACCAAUAGCUUGCACCGUGCACCUGGAAAAGUGGCAGACACUCAAUGCCAGCCCAUGAAAGCAACCAGGAGGGAGGCUGUACCCUACAAAGCCACAGAAUGGAGCUGCCCAAGACCAUGGGAACACACCUCUUGCAUCUGUAUGACCUGGAUGUGAGAAAUGGAGUCAAAGAAGAUCAUUUUGGAGCUUUAAGAUUUGACUGCCCCCCUGGAUUUCAAACUUGGAUGGGGUCUGUAGCUCCUUCGUUUUGGCCAGUUUCUUCCAUUUGGAACAGCUGUAUUUGACCAAUGACAGUACCCUCAUUAUAUCUAGGAAGCAACUUACUUGGUUUUGAUUUUACAGGCUCAUAGGUGGAAGAGAGUUUCCUGGUUUCAGAUGAGACUUUGGACUGGGACUUUUGGGUUAAUGCUGUAAUGAGUUAAGACUUUGGGGGACAGUUGGGAAGGCAAGAUUGUUUUUUGAAAUGUGAAAGUGACAUGAGAUUUGGGAGGGUCUGGGGGCAGAAUGAUGUGGUUUGGGUGUUUCCCGACCCAAAUUUCAUCUUGAAUUGUAAUAAUCCACACAUGUCAAGAACAGGGCCAGGUGAAGAUACUUGAAUCAUGGGGGUGAUUUCCUCCAAACUGUUCUCAUGGUAGUGAAUAAAUCUCAAGAGAUCUGAUGGUUUUAUAAAUGGGAUUUCCUCUGCACAAACUUUCUUUCCUGUCACCAUGUAAGACGUGACUUUGCUCAUCAUUCAUCUUCCACCAUGUUUGUAAGGCCUCCCCAACUAUAUGGAACUGUGAGUCAAUUAAACCUCUUUCCUUUAUAAAUUACCCAGUUUUGGGUAUGUGUUUAUUAGCAGCAUGAGAACAGACUAAUACACUCAACCACCUGCUCAAACAUAUCUGACCCAGUCUGAACUCAAGGUAGGACCCCCAAUACACAUGAAAAGCUUUGUAGGCCUUGUCACCUUCACAUUACCUUACCUUGACUCUGAACCAGGAAUUAAUUACCAUGAAAUAAAGGAUGAUGCAAAUGUUGAUGUUGGGUCCAAUCUGUAGUAGUGACAGGAAGUGCUCCACAAGAACACAUAAGUAGGAGUGAAAAGGGGUGCUUCCAUAAGAAGAUGGUUUCUGACAGGUACAGUGGCUCAUGCCUGUAAUCCCAGCACUUUGGGAGGUCAAAGCAGGUGGAUCCUUUGAGCUCAGUAGUUCAAGAUCAGCCUCAGCAACGUGGCAAAACUCCUUCUGUACCAAAGAUACAAAAAAUUAGCUGGGGGUAGUGUCGAGCACCUGUGGUCCCAGCUACUCAGGAGCCUAAGGUGGGAGGAUUGCUUGAGCCUGGGAGGAGGAGAUUGCAGAGAGCUGUGAUCACACCACUGAACUCCAG
rnacentral:lncRNA from 1 species